ensembl:lncRNA
CUGUAAGCAAGCAGGAAGGAAGCCGGAUGCGUGAGGGACACACGUGAAUUGAUCUUGUCAGCGCGAGUAACCCCAUGACUCGGGGCACUUAGGGGUUAGGUGUCUUGCUCAGGGACACUUUGACAUGGGACAUGGGGCAGCCAGGACUCGAACCACCAACCUUGUGGCUCCCAGCGCACCCUCUCUACCCCUGCGCCACGACGACCCCGCAGCAACAAAUAUUUGAUGUUAUUAUUACAUUCAUAUAGCCACAGUACAUCAACAAAGCUACAGCGGUCAGUUCUCAAUGUCUGGCAUUCACUGGGAC